GCAAUUUCUCUAAUAUACCCUUUUUUUCUUCAUAUUUACAUAUAUCAAAUUUUUGUUUAGGAAAGAAAUCUUACAUCGCUCAGCUUUUUCAUAUUCUCUUCAAAAUUUAUAUCUCUCUUACAAACUCCUCCUCCUAACAAUCACACAUUUGAGAGCUCCACCAUCAAGCCGAAUUUGGGACAAAAACUCAGCAUGAAAUGAAUGGCAAGAAAAAAUGCACAAAUGAAUGUGGGCUUCAUGGUGAUAAUGUAGCUCAGAGGUAACAUGAGUUGACUUGAUACAAUAUAAUGAUGAUCUUACAUUGUUAAACUUGCUUUUUUUUUCUUCUUUGAUUCUCAGUUUCAACUAUUUUCUUUUUUUUUUGUUGCUGAUCCACAACUGAAAUAUUUUUGAUUUCUUAUUGCACCAAUUCUAUUUGAAGGUACACAUGUAGACAUAUGCACUUAUAAGGGUUAAAUGACUAUUUUUUAAAAAUAUUUUCUCUCUUGAGAAUUGCUUUACUUGAUUAUGCAAGAAACAUAUACUUCGGCAUAAUAAAGAAGGUACAAGGAUCUGACUUAAAUAGAAGCUGUAAAGACAUUUAACGUUACACAGGAGAUGGGGAUGGACGAUGAAUUUGCGUAGGAAACUAACGCUACUUUUCAUUCGAAACAAAGACAAAUCUACUUUAACCUUGGAAUGGAGAUGUUAGUGCUCACGUUAAAGCUUAGUCGGUAAGAGCAUGAGGCAUAUUAAAUAGUAGCAGUGGCUAUUUAUUUCUUAUUCCUUAAUUUUUUACAAUAAAUAACAAUGAAUUUGUCUUAGGACAUGACAUUAAAUAUAUCCCGGGAACCAAUUCUGUUAAUCGGUAAUAUUGGCUAUUUAUGUUAGCCUUAUGUGAGCAACUUGAUAACUUAUGUGACGAAUUUGAUAAGAUCAAUAUCAACGUUGUAAUAGUUAGUCAUUAUUGAGGAUAUAAACAUUUUAACUCUUUCUAAUUUUGUAAUAGCAGCUGCCAAUAUUUUGGGGAAUAAAUUUUACAUUCAUCAAA